rnacentral:rRNA from 1 species
UACGGAGGGUGCAAGCGUUAUCCGGAAUCACUGGGUUUAAAGGGUACGUAGGCGGUUCAAUAAGUCAGAUGUGAAAUGUCGGAGCUCAACUUCGAACUUGCAUUUGAAACUGUUGAACUUGAAUUAGGUGGAAGUGUGCGGAAUGUAUCAUGUAGCGGUGAAAUGCAUAGAUAUGAUAUAGAACACCAAUAGCGAAGGCAGCACACUACGCUUUGAUUGACGCUGAGGUACGAAAGCGUGGGGAGCGAACAGG